GCAUUUUUAUCCACUGUAAGGCAGUCUGAUGCUUCCAAAAUACUGUUGCCAUCCCAAAAUGGAAGAUGGUAUGUGCCAGAGAUUGGUUUCCGUUGUUCCCAGUAAACUCCCACUGCUCUGAGCAGAACCAGAUCUGGAGGAUGUGCUUGGGAUCAGCAAGGACUUGGACCCCUGCCUCAUUCACUGCAUGUGAUGGACCUGCUCUGAGGUAAAUCAGAGUUGCACAGUGAAAGAGACCAUCUGUAGGACCCCUGCCUCAUUUGUCAGGUGUGUACUGAGUGAGACAAGGGGCUGCAGGAGAGAAAGGGAAGCUUGUACAGCUGAGGCAGUGAAAUUCUGACCUGACUUGUUUCUGUACGUGCCCAUUUCUAUAUGAUAGUUUUCAGGGGUUUUU
rnacentral:lncRNA from 12 species